rnacentral:sRNA from 1 species
ACCUUGUAGACAUAGUCAACCACCAUCACGGUCUGUGCCGUUGGGGAAGCAAUCGGCU